rnacentral:tRNA from 1 species
UCUCCCGUAGCUCAACGGCGGAGCAGGCGACUGUUGAUCGCAAGGAUGCUGGUUCGAAUCCAGCCGGGAGAGC